rnacentral:misc_RNA from 1 species
UUGUGGAGGAGGACGCCGAAGGUGGGGCUAAUGACUGGGGUGAAGUCGUAACAAGGUAGCCGUACCGGAAGGUGCGGCUGGAUCACCUCCUAACAGGGAGACAACAAAAUGUUUAAUAUUAUUAUUUUGUCACCUUAGGUCGAUCGGUAUCUCACGUUUUUAAUUUAUUAAGAAUUUCAUUUCCUAAGUUUUUCUAGGUCACACCCAUUAUUUUCCUGGGCCAUUAGCUCAGGUGGUUAGAGCGCACCCCUGAUAAGGGUGAGGUCCCUGGUUCAAGUCCAGGAUGGCCCAUAUCUCUAUGUUGGGGGUAUAGCUCAGUUGGUAGAGCGCCUGCUUUGCAAGCAGGAUGUCAGCGGUUCGAGUCCGCUUACCUCCACUGAUUACCACCUCUUCCAUAAUCAAAAGAAGGGAAAAUUUUUUGAGUUGUGAUCAUAAUUCUGAACGAAUCUAGCUUCCUAAUGAAAUCAUUAAGAUGCUGGACUCAUUGAAUUAAUUUCAUUGUUUUCAGAGAACCUUGACAACUGCAUAGAUUAUUUUAAAGACAAUAAGCAUCUUUAAUGAUGCAGAUUUAUUAUUUGUGCAAAUGCAUUAAUAACAAUUCUAUUAAGCUGAUGCUUCAAUUUUGAAGUUAUUGGUCAAGCUACAA